AGUAAUUGCUGUCCGGUCAAUGAAAUGUGGGACACACGAAAUAUCUCGGCCCCUUCUACCUCUCAGUUCAACCUUUCCCACCCCCUCCUAUCUAGCUCGUCGGCGGAGAGCGAAAAAAUGGCGGCGGAGAGCUGCAUGGGGAAGGUGCUGACCUGCGAGGCAACGGACUCGAAUUCCUACUGGAUCCAGUUGACAGGUGACUGCGGGUGUUGAGCAGCCAGAUCCAUUAAUUGGUGUUGAGGGCCGUCAGACGCGGUUGUGGCUGGUCCCGACUCCUCGUGCGCAGUUGUGGUUGGAUACCUCGGUGGCUCUGCUGAGUAGAGAGAUUCCGGCGGCAAGAGGAAGGAGUCGCCAACCCAGUCCGAGGGGCAAGUUGAACCCAGAUACCCGGAGGUCGACCAGAAGGUUGAGAGGUCGACGUGUACCUCAAGAUAGGGCACCCUGCCCUGUUUGAGUCACUCCAUUAGAAGAAACAAUCAGGAGGUACGCUGAUAAACCAUCGGACAAUGUAGUGAAGCCACAGAUUGGGCUGAAUUUUGACUCCCUGAGGAUCACUUCACUAAUUUGUACAUUCAACUAAGUAAGAGUUUGUAUAAAAAUAAGACCAGCCCUGAACAGGCAUUCACCUCCCUGCAGUAGCGUUUAUUUGGGUAAAAGAAGGAUGUGGUGCAUCAGAUCCACGGAAUUUUGGUCGCGGCUUUGCGUAUUGGUUGCUCGCGGCGUCCUCGGUGCGGGCUUCGGAGUUUUGGUCGUCUAGUUGUAGAUUGGUUUGCUUCUCUGGUCGGAGAGUUUAGCCGUGUUCUUCUUUGUUUGGGUCGUGCAUCUUUCAUCUCUCCGUUUCGGGCACCAUGUUCACGCCCCUUGCGUCCGUGUCAUGUGUUGUACCACCUCAUGUAAUCAUUCUCACUUCUUCUAUCAAUGCAAUGAUACGCAAGCUUUGCGUAUUCGAGAAAAACAAAGAUCCACGAAAUUUUGCUUUCACUACAAAGGGUCAACGAUUCUAAAAAAAGACCAAUAUGAUAGCUUGCACAAUCAGAUUCUAAGAAUAUGGGUCUCAUGAGCACUGAGGGUUAACAUGUUAAAAGCUCCACGGAAGAAAACAUCUCCCUAAGAAACAAGUGAACUAUAUAUUUCAAAGAGAACCAUACAUGCACAUUUAACCGUUGCAAGGAAAUAUAAAAAGAUUACUAAAUAACCAAAUUUGGUUAGUCAAGUAAGUUAUAAAUCAUUAAGAAAUAUUAGGCAAACAAAAGUUUUGACAUUUAUCCCCAUAGGAGUUUGUCCACUUCUUUGCUCGAACAACAUUAGCCCAUUAACAAAUUAAUUUCUAUGUCCAUAGUAGCGUUAUUUGCACCGAGCAGCGCCAUUAUGGUUCAGUGCAUUACGUUCUCUGCUAACGGAAUAAAUAUGCAGCUUGCAAACAAUAGAACGGAUCCAUGUCUAGUAGCCUAGUAAAUCAUGUAAUGGUUUGAAGAUAAUACUGAAAUCCACAGAACCAAAGAAUUAAACUGCUUUGUUAUUAUUGGUUCUAUGUUCUAAGAGAAGAACAUUUGUUUAGGCUUUUUUUUUCAGGCAGCAUUUAAUUAGGCUUUAGGAGCAUAUCAUCUACUAUGUGUCACGAAUAUGCAAACACUAUGAACAAUUAAGCAAAAGUUACAGCAGAUGUAUCACAUUUCUUAUGCUGGUAGUUCAUGACCUUGGGAUGCAGCCAAAAAACAUAUUUAUGAACACUGUCGAUCAUCGUCAUGGCUCAUGAACAAACCACAAAACUUGGCAAACACUUGAUAGAGAUGAUAUGCCUCUGGUAAGCCUGCUCUUCAUUAGAAUUAGAAUAUCGAUCCUUCAUAUCAUAUCAGUAUUUUUGCUUCACUUGACAAUUUUUUAUUCAGUAUAACAAGAGAGUGUUCACUCUAACUUCAUGAGUUCAAUAAGCACAUUUUUUUUGCUUCUCAACAUAAGAAUUAUCAUACAUAUACAGUAGGUAUGAGAGGAAAACUGCUUCCAGUUCAGAUCCAUGUGGUGUUGUUACACAUAUACAGAAGGUAUGGCAGGAAAACUGCUUCCAGUUUAGAGCAAUGUGGCACUGCCAUACAUACACAGUAGUUAUGAGAGGAAAUGCUUCAGGUUCAGAGCUAGGUGCAGUCAAUUACAAAAAUCAUAGACAUGAGAACGUAGAUUGCACUUGAUAUCCAAUUUCCCGUUAGGGUAGGCCUCAAAAAUCUACCACUAUGUACAGGAAAGGUUAAAAAACAUUAUAUUACAGAGUUUUUCUUGUUCAGCACAAUAUUAUGUAAAAAAGGCCUAACAACAUAAUCCACUGUUGGUCUUUUGUCCGCAUCAACAAAAUCUUGCAAUUCCUACCAUGGUUAUUUAUAUGUUUUGCCCAGAGAUAAAAGCUGGAAACAGUAACCUCUAAUAGAUUAUCAGCCAGUAAUAAAUAACGGACUCCACAUAAAUUUGGAAACAAAAUAAACAAAGAAGGUACCAUGUCGAACACAUUGAUGUGUGAAGUAAGAAAAUUAAGACAUUGCUGAAAAGCUUAUAGUUCACUUCAUGUUUUUUUUUGCCUAAAUGUCGACAAAUUAACUUUGCAUUUCUUGCAGGUUGUAUACCUGAAAAUGGAAAAGACUAAAGAGGCAAAAACAUACAUGUAAAUUUACAUUCUGGUUUCUCUUGGACCUGCUACAUGCUAAGCUUCUAUAGUCCCAUAUGAACUAAAUAAGGGGACAACACCAGCAGUAGCAGAGUAAAGAAGAAAGUAUGACCUAGAUAAAACAUGAGUAAUCUAUGUUUAAGAAUCAUUCUUAAGGCCAUAUAAAAGGAUGGCAUAUAUAUGCAAGGUAAAUCCGCUAAAUCAAUUCCUAAAGAAUUGAAUGAGCAGAUCAAAUGCAACAAUUCAGAGCAUAUUUGUAGAGGAAGUAAUGGAAAGACAUUGUAUUGCAGUUCUGUAACCAUUUCCUCAAUUCUAUGGAGAUGAAACCAGAGCGUAACCAAUAAUGAAACACAUGAACAUCAUAGGCGAACUAACCUGAUAAUUCCGAAGGAGUAUUCCAUCGAACAACCUGUGAGCAACUAAAACCAAUGGCACAGGACAAUUCACUUGAUCUGGAGUGUGGACUUCUUUGUGUAGGACAUGCUUCGACCAUGGUGAGGGAGAGGUCCAGGCGGCAAGUUUGUCUGCUGGGCGGUGGCGAACAAGAUGGGGACAUUGUCUUCUCCACCCGGUGCCAUCAGGCUUUGCUGGAAAAGGGAUGGUGCAGAAUUCACCCAUUAGUGGCACUAUCGUGCCGGCAACCUCUUGCCACCCUCUUUGUCGGCGGUCUAACCUUCUCCCUUCUCUUCAUCGCCUCCCAUCACAAAAUUUUCCAUCGACGGCAUACUUGAUCCCUUCCCCUAUCAGUGUGAUUGCUGCUGCUAUCCACAACGGUCAUCGAUGGAAGGCGGUGUAUGUUGAAUAAAUAGCGGUGAGGAUGAGAGCCAUGGAAGUUGCAGUCAAGACUGAGCUGCCCGGGACUGUGCACAGGUGGUGCAGAUGGCAUGUUCUUAAGAAAGCAAAAGAGCACCUUGGUCCGCUGUACACCAGCAAGAGCCAGUUCAAGUCUGAAUUCUGCAAAGUAGUGAAUCACAUGAUAAGUGUGGACGAAUUUGAGACUGCAUGAGGCAUGCUGAUUGAGAAGUACAAUUUGACCAUUACAAAACGCAGCUUUACGAUAUAUAACAGAAGUGGGUGAACCCAUACUUCAAAGGUGUCUUUUGUGCCAAGAUGACUAGCACACGGCGCAGCGAGAGUGCAGACAAUAUGUUAAAAGAUGUACACGCCACCAGCCAGUCCAAUGCAUGUGUUCGUGCGGCAGUACAUGAGGCUUCAAUUUUACCAAGAACCAGAUGAGAGCUAGCAAGAAAAGAGGACAAGGAUUGUCGGCGACUUAUAGUUAUAUGUACAUGUUUCAUAUCAUGUUACAUAUGUACCCAAAAGAAAUACAACGUCAGCAUCUCGGACGACAUAUAUAGAGUGGUGCAGUAAUGAGGACAAAUGUUGUGAUCGAAAGGCAUGCAAGUAAGGUCUACACAAGAAUGAUGUUUGGACAAUUCGGUGAGAACCUCUUCGAAGGUGGGCCUUACUAGGUGGAGGAAGUGGAGGGGAAGAAGUACAUCGCAAGGCACAAUGACGUCUGAAAAACAUGAAAAGUGAAGCAAGGUGGAGUACGAGGUGACCAUAUCAGAUGUUGGAGUGGUUCGAAUGUGAGUGCGGGCAGUUUGCCCACAUGGGGAUGCUGUGUUGCCAUGCUUUAAAGGUGAUGGACUAUGUUGGCAUGAAAGAGAUAGCAAAACGGCACAUCCCUGAGAGGUGGACAAAAGAUGUCAGGGACAUCUUGCCGCAGCAUCUUGCUGCUAAUCGAUCUUUCACCUGCCGGAGCUUGACUCUCUACCUGCAGGCCAUGCAGCUCGUAAGGAUUGGGGACUCAUCAGUUGCAACCUACGAGCUCGGGCUAGGUCGGAUGAAGGAAAUAAUCAUGGAAGCAUCGCUGCUGGCUUAAUCCAGGGAUGGACUACGAUUUCAGGAUAGACAAGCUGCCGAAUCGAAUCGCAAUAUCAUUGGAUCGGCAUGUGUGAUCAUCAAAGUUGAGGGAGAUAUGGUUGACAAUGCGAACAGCUUGACUGCUUCCAGCAACUGGGAUGCCCUUACUGGACUGUCGGCUCCAAGCAAGAAGCGUUGUGUUGAGCGACCAUGCUCGAGCAGAGAGAACGUGCCGUACGAGGCGAUGAGUAAGCGGACGAGGUUCUGCAGCAUUUGCAAGCUGCCAGGGCAUAAGAAGACCACCUGCCCAGACAAAGGUGAUGUGUCAAAGCAGCCUCGCAUGCCUGCAAGCUCCAAGAACUGUGGCAUUGGAGGGCAGGGCACCGUGGCACCUCGUACAUCAGGCCGCUAGGUGCCAAUGCAUUUAACCGCUUCUUGCGACCGUGUGUAACAGUAUAAAAAUAAUCGAGGAUUUUCUAGUGUCGGACUUAUGGGUGAACUCCGCUGUUGUUCCUCCCGAGUGUAAACUAGUUGUAUUUUAGAUGAUGAUGUGUCGUUUAAACUUAUAAAUUUGAUUUUCCCAAACAGUAGUACAGCCUGAAUGGCGAGACGAUUUUUUUCCA